rnacentral:rRNA from 1 species
ACUGAAACCGGAGCUAAUACCGGAUAAUAUUUCGAACCGCAUGGUUCGAUAGUGAAAGGUGGUUUUGCUAUCACUUAUAGAUGGACCCGCGCCGUAUUAGCUAGUUGGUAAGGUAACGGCUUACCAAGGCGACGAUACGUAGCCGACCUGANAGGGUGAUCGGCCACACUGGAACUGAGACACGGUCCAGACUCCUACGGGAGGCAGCAGCU